UAACCGUAGGUGAACCUGCGGUUGGAUCAUUAUAAAAUAAUGAUGACAUACCCAUUUAAUACCACUGCGAUUUUGUAUUGGGUGAAUGGGGAGUCUCUUAAACCUCCGUGCACUGUAAUAGUAUCCGGCCUAGGCAGAGCAGUCUUCACCGAUAGCGAAGCUUAGGCCCAAAAACGGUUUUGACCGUAUAAACAACUUUUUAAUUUUUACUAACUUUUGUGUCUAAAAAAUCAAAAACAACUUUCAACAACGGAUCUCUUGGUUCAC
rnacentral:misc_RNA from 1 species